GCUCGCCCGUCUCCAAAUCCCCCGCAAUCACCGGCGAUUCCAGCUCCUUCCUCUUCAGCACGUUCCUAGUUUCCGGAUCAGCGUCUCCUCCGUGAUCCAAGCCGCCCGCGUUCUUCACGCGCUGCCAUGAAUAUCCCAGCCGGGAUGCAAGCCGAGAUCGCGUGCCAGCAGCCCGGAUUGCGUCCGUGAUCGACUCCUCCCCGCGUCCUCACCGCGUCUGCCAUCUCCCUUCCGCAUCAGGCGUCCGUCCGCGGCUAUAAAAGGAGAAGGAGGAAGAGAAGAGGGGGGUGCUCGGUUGGGGGUGGAGGCCAAGACACAAAGAGGGAGAGGCCAUCGGCAGGGAAGAGGGGAACCUCUGUUUCAAAGAGAGGAGAGAGUGCCUUGCUCUGUUUUCAACUUCAUUGAAAACAGAGCAUUGUGUUUUUAUGUUUUAUUUUUUUUUGUUUUAGCUUUCUGUUUUAUUUAUUUUUUUUUCUAGUUUGAAUUUUAAUUGAGAGCAAGUAUUUUGGGGUUUUUAGUUUUAUUCAUGCUAAAGUUGUAAUUUCUGUUGCUUUUAAUUUACGUUCUUCAAAUUAUGCAAUCUUUUAAUUUUUCUUUGAUGCAAUAUAUUUAAUUUUCUUUUAUAAAAUUUAUGUUCCAGGCUUCAAUCUCCC
rnacentral:lncRNA from 1 species